rnacentral:rRNA from 1 species
CCUACGGGAGGCUGCAGUGGGGAAUAUUGCACAAUGGGCGCAAGCCUGAUGCAGCCAUGCCGCGUGUGUGAAGAAGGCCUUCGGGUUGUAAAGCACUUUCAGCGGGGAGGAAGGCGGUGAGGUUAAUAACCUCAUCGAUUGACGUUACCCGCAGAAGAAGCACCGGCUAACUCCGUGCCAGCAGCCGCGGUAAUACGGAGGGUGCAAGCGUUAAUCGGAAUUACUGGGCGUAAAGCGCACGCAGGCGGUCUGUCAAGUCGGAUGUGAGAUCCCCGGGCUCAACCUGGGAACUGCAUUCGAAACUGGCAGGCUAGAGUCUUGUAGAGGGGGGUAGAAUUCCAGGUGUAGCGGUGAAAUGCGUAGAGAUCUGGAGGAAUACCGGUGGCGAAGGCGGCCCCCUGGACAAAGACUGACGCUCAGGUGCGAAAGCGUGGGGAGCAAACAGGAUUAGAUACCCCGGUAGUC